rnacentral:rRNA from 1 species
UACAGAGGGGGCAAGCGUUAUUCGGAAUUAUUGGGCGUAAAGGGCGCGUAGGCGGCUUGGCAAGUGGAUGGUGAAAUCCCUCGGCUUAACCGAGGAACUGCCGUCCAAACUGCUUUGCUUGAGGCCGGGAGAGGCGAGUGGAAUUCCCAGUGUAGCGGUGAAAUGCGUAGAUAUUGGGAGGAACACCAGUGGCGAAGGCGGCUCGCUGGACCGGUUCUGACGCUGAUGCGCGAAAGCGUGGGGAGCAAACGGGG